GAUGAACGCUGGCGGCGUGCCUAAUACAUGCAAGUCGAGCGACCGAACAGGGCUUUUCCUUGUGUGAAGUUAGCGACGGGCGGGUAAGUCACGCGUGACUAACCUACCUAUCCGACUCAACUCACUUAAACAAGCCCUAGCUACUGCCGGAUUAUCUUUUGUACCGCUUAGUUCGAAAAGGAAAGACGGUCUUGCUUUCCCUUAUAGAUGGAUGCGCCCUUCAUUAGCUGGUUGGUUAGGUAACGGCUUACCAAGGCAACGAUGCGUAGCCGACCUGAGAGGGUGAUCAGCCACACUGGAACUGAGACACGGUCCAGACUCCUACGGGAGGCAGCAGUAGGGAAUCUUCCGCAAUGGGCGAAAGCCUGACGGAGCAACGCCGCGUGAGUGAUGAAGGUCUUCGGAUCGUAAAACUCUGUUAGGAGGGAAGAACAUAUGUGUAAGUAAAGGCGCACAGCUUGACGGUACCUAAACAGAAAGCCACGGCUAACUACGUG
rnacentral:rRNA from 1 species